rnacentral:rRNA from 1 species
AACGAACGCUGGCGGCAGGUCUUAGGCAUGCAAGUCGAACGGGUGUAGCAAUACAUCAGUGGCGCACGAGUGAGUAACGCGUGGGAAUUUGCCCAUCGGUGGGGAAUAACGUUUGGAAACGAACGCUAAUACCGCAUACGUCGAGAAAUCGAGAAAGAUUUAUCGCCGAUGGAUAAGCCCGCGUUGGAUUAGCUUGUUGGUAGGGUAAUGGCUUACCAAGGCGAUGAUCCAUAGCUGGUCUGAGAGGACGAUCAGCCACGCUGGGACUGAGACACGGCCAGACUCCUACGGGAGGCAGCAGCUAAGAAUAUUGGACAAUGGAGGAAACUCUGAUCCAGCCAUGCCGUGUGAGUGAAGAAGGCCUUCGGGUUGUAAAGCUCUUUUAGUCGUGAGGAUGAUGACGGUAGCGACAGAAAAAGCACCGGCUAACUUCGUGCCAGCCGCCGCGGUAA